GAGUUUGAUCCUGGCUCAGGAUGAACGCUAGCUACAGGCUUAACACAUGCAAGUCGAGGGGCAGCAUGUCGGUUGCUUGCAACCGAUGAUGGCGACCGGCGCACGGGUGAGUAACGCGUAUCCAACCUACCCUUGUCCAUCGGAUAACCCGUCGAAAGGCGGCCUAACACGAUAUGCGGUUCACCGCAGGCAUCUAACGUGAACGAAAUGUGAAGGAGAAGGAUGGGGAUGCGUCUGAUUAGCUUGUUGGCGGGGUAACGGCCCACCAAGGCGACGAUCAGUAGGGGUUCUGAGAGGAAGGUCCCCCACAUUGGAACUGAGACACGGUCCAAACUCCUACGGGAGGCAGCAGUGAGGAAUAUUGGUCAAUGGGCGAGAGCCUGAACCAGCCAAGUAGCGUGCAGGAUGACGGCCCUAUGGGUUGUAAACUGCUUUUAUAAGGGAAUAAAGUGGGAGUCGUGACUCCUUUUGCAUGUACCUUAUGAAUAAGGACCGGCUAAUUCCGUGCCAGCAGCCGCGGUAAUACGGAAGGUCCGGGCGUUAUCCGGAUUUAUUGGGUUUAAAGGGAGCGUAGGCCGGAGAUUAAGCGUGUUGUGAAAUGUAGACGCUCAACGUCUGCACUGCAGCGCGAACUGGUUUCCUUGAGUACGCACAAAGUGGGCGGAAUUCGUGGUGUAGCGGUGAAAUGCUUAGAUAUCACGAAGAACUCCGAUUGCGAAGGCAGCUCACUGGAGCGCAACUGACGCUGAAGCUCGAAAGUGCGGGUAUCGAACAGGAUUAGAUACCCUGGUAGUCCGCACGGUAAACGAUGGAUGCCCGCUGUUGGUCUGAAUAGGUCAGCGGCCAAGCGAAAGCAUUAAGCAUCCCACCUGGGGAGUACGCCGGCAACGGUGAAACUCAAAGGAA
rnacentral:rRNA from 1 species